AACGAACGCUGGCGGCAUGCCUAACACAUGCAAGUCGAACGAGACCUUCGGGUCUAGUGGCGCACGGGUGCGUAACGCGUGGGAACCUGCCCUUCGGUUCGGAAUAACUCCCCGAAAGGGGUGCUAAUACCGGCUAAUGUCUUCGGCCCAAAGAUUUAUCGCCUUUGGAUGGGCCCGCGUUGGAUUAGCUAGUUGGUAGGGUAAAAGCCUACCAAGGCGACGAUCCAUAGCUGGUCUGAGAGGAUGAUCAGCCACACUGGGACUGAGACACGGCCCAGACUCCUACGGGAGGCAGCAGUGGGGAAUAUUGGACAAUGGGCGAAAGCCUGAUCCAGCAAUGCCGCGUGAGUGAUGAAGGCCUUAGGGUUGUAAAGCUCUUUUACCCGGGAUGAUAAUGACAGUACCGGGAGAAUAAGCUCCGGCUAACUCCGUG
rnacentral:rRNA from 1 species